rnacentral:lncRNA from 1 species
ACUGAACCUGCUGUGUAUACAGGUACGAAAGUUGAACCUUGUGUAUUUGGAGAUCUGGUCCCGCCGUUAUUUCCAUUCUCACCAAUACUAGUUGAUCUGCCCUUUGCACUUCCAUGACUGUAUCCAUGUUCAAGUUUGCCGCUAUGUGCUAUUCUGCUUCUGCUAUUAUCACUAUCAUCAUCACUACCAUUGCUUCCAUGUCCAUUUGCACCUUCAUCUUCUGUGGUGGUUUCCUGCAUAAAUUCUGCAACGAAUUCUUUUAGAAGUUAACCAGUACCGAAACUUGUUUAACAAGGUCACAGAUUUCUUUUUGCCAUUAGGAAAUCAGAAAACUUCUGUAUAUAAAUUUUUAUUUUUUAUACUUUUUUUUUAUCUGGCAUUGGGGGUGGUUGAAUUAUUGUCAAAUAGAGCGACUUUCUUUUUGGUCCAAAAACUUGUAGAGGAAGAAGAAUUUGAAAAGAUUGUAAUGGUAAUAGACUCGAUUGUCAAUUCUGUUUCAAAUCG